rnacentral:rRNA from 1 species
AACGAACGCUGGCGGCAGGCCUAACACAUGCAAGUCGAACGCUCCGCAAGGGGAGUGGCGCACGGGUGAGUAACACGUGGGAACCUACCUUCUGGUACGGAACAACCAAGGGAAACUUUGGCUAAGACCGUAUACGACCUCCGGGUGAAAGAUUGAUCGCCGGAAGAGGGGCCCGCGUCCGAUUAGGUAGUUGGUGAGGUAACGGCUCGCCAAGCCUUCGAUCGGUAGCUGGUCUGAGAGGAUGACCAGCCACACUGGGACUGAGACACGGCCCAGACUCCUACGGGAGGCAGCAGUGGGGAAGUAUUGGACAAUGGGCGCAAGCCUGAUCCAGCCAUGCCGCGUGAGUGAUGAAGGCCUUCGGUUG